rnacentral:tRNA from 1 species
GGAGAGGUGUCCGAGAGGCCGAAGGAACACGACUGGAAAUCGUGUGAACUCCAAAAGGGUUCCGUGGGUUCGAAUCCCACCCUCUCCGCCA